rnacentral:siRNA from 1 species
ACCGUUCAACAACAUGGGUGUGAG